CACGGGACACCUGCAUCUGCCAACAAGACUGGAAGCAGAAAGGGACAGAGACGGCGAAGUUUGACGGUCUGGAAAGCAGAGACCAGCAGGGCUGACUGCUUGGGAGCACGAGGGACAGCUCUCCACCGACCGAAGGAGGAGAAUGCUAUUUAUUUCAGCACCAAAUAUCCGGACAGCGCCUCUCGGGAGGUCCGAGAAGAGAACCGCGAUCUGUUUCAGCACCGGGGCUCAGGACAGUUCCCAGCGGGCUCCGUUUCGUCUCCAGAACCCUGGACAGCUCCUCCAGCUUGGAAUGCACUCCCUCCACCUCCAACCAGAGCUCCCCACAACUGACCCUGCCUUCUUCUGCAAGCUCCAUUUCAUCAAGGGAAACGAUCCUUAUUGCCUCACCAUUUCCCACGUGAAGUCUGUAUUGACAUUCUCAUAGACCUGGGAUAUUGUGUCUGCAGCACAUAGUCCAAUUAUUUUCAUGUUAUCUACUGACAGGUCUAUUUGUCUCCCUGUUACACUGUGAGCUCCGUGAGGGCAGAAACAAUGUUAGUAUUUUCACUGCUGUGUCCCCAGCGCCUGGUCCGGGGCCCGGCACACAGCAGGCAUAUAAUAAGCAUGUGUUGAAUCAAUAAAGGCAUCAAAGAAUAAACCAAUACAUCAAUCAAUAAAUGAAUGAAUGGCCUCAGCA
rnacentral:lncRNA from 1 species